rnacentral:rRNA from 1 species
AAUUUUGGACAAUGGGGGAAACCCUGAUCCAGCCAUCCCGCGUGUAUGAUGAAGGCCUUCGGGUUGUAAAGUACUUUUGGCAGAGAAGAAAAGGUACCUCCUAAUACGAGGUACUGCUGAUGGUCUCUGCAGAAUAAUCACCGCGUAACUACGUGCCAGCAACCGCGGUAAUACGUUGGGUGCAAGCGUUAAUCGGAAUUACUGGGCGUAAAGCGUGUGUAGGCGGUUCGGAAAGAAAGAUGUGAAAUCCCAGGGCUCAACCCUGGAACUGCAUUUUUAACUGCCGAGCUAGAGUAUGUCAGAGGGGGGUAGAAUUCCACGUGUAGCAGUGAAAUGCGUAGAUAUGUGGAGGAAUACCGAUGGCGAAGGCAGCCCCCUGGGAUAAUACUGACGCUCAGACACGAAAGCGUGGGGAGCAAACA